CCUUUGUACACACCGCCCGUCGCUACUACCGAUUGAAUGGCUCAGUGAGGCCUUCGGACUGGCUCCAGGAGGUCGGCAACGACCACCCAGAGCCGGAAAGUUGGUCAAACUUGGUCAUUUAGAGG
rnacentral:rRNA from 1 species